AUUUGAAAUAACCUAGUUUAAUUAUUGUAUGAGGAUUCCUGCAUGUUUGCGACUUCUUGCAGUGUAUUUAAAUAAUUUCUUGUGUUAGAUGGUUGCUGAGCAUGUGCAACCGUCUCUGGAGCUAAAUUUUUUAUUAAAUUUCAAUAUUACAUGGAGUUGUUUGGGUCAGUUUCAUGAAGGAGAUGUGAUUAGCUUUAUGAUAGCUGUCAAUGUACCAAAACAUUUCACUUUUAUCUGGGUUUGGGACUGGCUAUCAUAAAUCUGGCACAGAGUCAAAUCUGAUAUGGGUAGAGUUUACUCAAAAAAAAAAAAAAAAA
rnacentral:misc_RNA from 1 species